UACGGAGGAUGCGAGCGUUAUCCGGAUUUAUUGGGUUUAAAGGGUGCGCAGGCGGCCUUUUAAGUCAGUGGUGAAAUCCCGAAGCUUAACUUCGGACUUGCCAUUGAAACUGGGAGGCUUGAGUAUAGAUGAAGUAGGCGGAAUUCGUUGUGUAGCGGUGACAUGCUUAGAUAUAACGAGGAACUCCGAUUGCGUAGGCAGCUUACUAAACUAUAACUGACGCUCAUGCACGAAAGCGUGGGGAUCAAACAGG
rnacentral:rRNA from 1 species